AGAGUUUGAUCCUGGCUCAGGAUGAACGCCCGUGGUGUGCCUAAUACAUGCAAGUCGUACGCACUGGCCCAACUGAUUGAUGGUGCUUGCACCUGAUGGACGAUGGAUCACCAGUGAGUGGCGGACGGGUGAGUAACACGUAGGUAACCUGCCCCGGAGCGGGGGAUAACAUUUGGAAACAGAUGCUAAUACCGCAUAACAACAAAAGCCACAUGGCUUUUGUUUGAAAGAUGGCCUUGGCUAUCACUCUGGGAUGGACCUGCGGUGCAUUAGCUAGUUGGUAAGGUAACGGCUUACCAAGGCGAUGAUGCAUAGCCGAGUUGAGAGACUGAUCGGCCACAAUGGAACUGAGACACGGUCCAUACUCCUACGGGAGGCAGCAGUAGGGAAUCUUCCACAAUGGGCGCAAGCCUGAUGGAGCAACACCGCGUGAGUGAAGAAGGGUUUCGGCUCGUAAAGCUCUGUUGUUGGAGAAGAACGUGCGUGAGAGUAACUGUUCACGCAGUGACGGUAUCCAACCAGAAAGUCACGGCUAACUACGUGCCAGCAGCCGCGGUAAUACGUAGGUGGCAAGCGUUAUCCGGAUUUAUUGGGCGUAAAGCGAGCGCAGGCGGUUGCUUAGGUCUGAUGUGAAAGCCUUCGGCUUAACCGAAGAAGUGCAUCGGAAACCGGGCGACUUGAGUGCAGAAGAGGACAGUGGAACUCCAUGUGUAGCGGUGGAAUGCGUAGAUAUAUGGAAGAACACCAGUGGCGAAGGCGGCUGUCUGGUCUGCAACUGACGCUGAGGCUCGAAAGCAUGGGUAGCGAACAGGAUUAGAUACCCUGGUAGUCCAUACCGUAAACGAUGAGUGCUAGGUGUUGGAGGGUUUCCGCCCUUCAGUGCCGGAGCUAACGCAUUAAGCACUCCGCCUGGGGAGUACGACCGCAAGGUUGAAACUCAAAGGAAUUGACGGGGGCCCGCACAAGCGGUGGAGCAUGUGGUUUAAUUCGAAGCUACGCGAAGAACCUUACCAGGUCUUGACAUCUUGCGCUAACCUUAGAGAUAAGGCGUUCCCUUCGGGGACGCAAUGACAGGUGGUGCAUGGUCGUCGUCAGCUCGUGUCGUGAGAUGUUGGGUUAAGUCCCGCAACGAGCGCAACCCUUGUUACUAGUUGCCAGCAUUAAGUUGGGCACUCUAGUGAGACUGCCGGUGACAAACCGGAGGAAGGUGGGGACGACGUCAGAUCAUCAUGCCCCUUAUGACCUGGGCUACACACGUGCUACAAUGGACGGUACAACGAGUCGCAAGCUCGCGAGAGUAAGCUAAUCUCUUAAAGCCGUUCUCAGUUCGGACUGUAGGCUGCAACUCGCCUACACGAAGUCGGAAUCGCUAGUAAUCGCGGAUCAGCAUGCCGCGGUGAAUACGUUCCCGGGCCUUGCACACACCGCCCGUCA
rnacentral:rRNA from 1 species